GACGAACGCUGGCGGCGUGCUUAACACAUGCAAGUCGAACGGAAAGGCCCUGCUUUUGUGGGGUGCUCGAGUGGCGAACGGGUGAGUAACACGUGAGUAACCUGCCCUUGACUUUGGGAUAACUUCAGGAAACUGGGGCUAAUACCGGAUAGGAGCUCCUGCUGCAUGGUGGGGGUUGGAAAGUUUCGGCGGUUGGGGAUGGACUCGCGGCUUAUCAGCUUGUUGGUGGGGUAGUGGCUUACCAAGGCUUUGACGGGUAGCCGGCCUGGGAGGGUGACCGGCCACAUUGGGACUGAGAUACGGCCCAGACUGCUACGGGAGGCAGCAGUGGGGAAUAUUGCGCAAUGGGCGGAAGCCUGAUGCAGCAACGCCGCGUGCGAGAUGACGGCCUUCGGGUUGUAAACCGCUUUCGCCUGUGACGAAGCGUAAGUGACGGUAAUGGGUAAGGAAGCACCGGCUAACUACGUG
rnacentral:rRNA from 1 species